UUGCAGCAGUGAUAGCCUGAAAGCCAAACAAUAACAUCUAGGUUCACCACUGUUACAUGUGUAUAAACUAUCUAUGCCACUACAUCUAAUUCUUGAGCUGAUCAGAACAACAAACUUCCCAUUUUACUCUCCAACAGAAAACACAUUAGCUGCUUGCUUGUGUUGAGAACCAACUGAUUUACAAAAAAUAACCUACCACCACUUUGUAUUCUCCGAUUCAAUUGGCCACACCAGAAAAAAUGGCCUAAAACUGCUGAUACAGGGAAUACAGUAACAACACUUGUCUUUGACCUAGAGGAAAAGAUGGCUGUAUGAACUCUUGAAUAUAACCUUUGAAAGUGGACCAAAAUGAAAUACAACUUAAAUUGGUUUGCUUGAUUCCUUGCUUAGCCACUUCUGAUUAGCAGCUCCAAUUCAGCAUCUAGGCUACAACUUGCUUAACUCCC
rnacentral:lncRNA from 1 species